rnacentral:tRNA from 1 species
UUCCUGGAAGACUUUUUGAAGUAGAGUUACUUUAUGCGAAACAUGCAGAAAAAAAC